GAGAAGGAGGAAUGGGUUGGAAAAGGAAGUGCCUCAGGAAGGAGGGAAACAUGGCCUUGCAGGACAAAAUGACAGUGGACUUGGAACACUUCCUGCAGAUGCAGAUUCCCAGCAGACGCUGUUACCGACACACAUCCAAGAGACACCCGUGGAGGGGAAACGCAAGAAAGGCUGAUCCCGUUUGAUCACUGAGCAUAGAGAGCAGUGGAAGAGAGUGGCUGCACCUCUGCAAAGAAUUCCUUUCCCCCCUCUUCCUUUUUAACAUGAAGAAACUUUGAAAACACCUGCAGUGGGAAACAAAAGGUUAAUUAACAAGAACCCAGUCUUUGCACUAAACUGAUUGCUGGGACUCCUGCCAGCCUGGGAAGGUUAAAGAGCUCAAGCAUGCGUGGGCUGCGGGGGGAAUGGCUAAAAUUUACAGCUAGCUCCCUGGAAAGUCACAGUUCAGCUGUUCUCCCGGAGCAGGUGCUCAUGGGAGCGGGCCUGUCCCUUUCAAAGCGUGAAGAUUGAUGAAGCCUUCGCUCUCACCAACUGUAAAUAUACAACCAGCCUUGUCAGAGCAGGUGACCAUCACUUGCUCAAACGACUAGUGCUGUCCUUGAAGGGAAAAGACCACAAAGGUCUCUUUCUACCACAGUGAGCAGCAAACAGCAAAGUCCUCUGUGAGUUUCAGGAGAGGCAGGCGGUGGUGUGUGCUUCCACUCAACAGCAGAGCUGGCCUGAAACACAGUCACAUUGUCUCAGUAAAAUUACAUUCAGCAUCUCUGAUUGUCCAGUUUGGGGAUGGCCACAAUGGGAUGUACCGUGUCUCCACAGUCCCAGCGCUGCUGCCUCUGCAGAUCCUC